rnacentral:rRNA from 1 species
GAUGACAGCCCUACCGAGUCGCAUCAUCGCAGCCACGGACAUGGACUACAACUGCUCCACGACUCACAGACGCCAACCCAGCCGUUCGCGUCACAUUUGAUGGGUUUCGCCAAUGCCUGAGGGGCACUGCCCACCAAAGGACGGAAUC